rnacentral:rRNA from 1 species
UGGGACCUACGGGAGGCAGCAGUGGGGAAUAUUGCACAAUGGAGGAAACCCUGAUGCAGCGACGCCGCGUGAGUGAAGAAGUAUUUCGGUAUGUAAAGCUCUAUCAGCAGGGAAGAAAAUGACGGUACCUGACUAAGAAGCCCCGGCUAACUACGUGCCAGCAGCCGCGGUAAUACGUAGGGGGCAAGCGUUAUCCGGAUUUACUGGGUGUAAAGGGAGCGUAGACGGCGCGGCAAGUCUGAAGUGAGAGGCAGGGGCUUAACCCCUGAACUGCUUUGGAAAAUGCCAUGCUAGAGUGCUGGAGG